ACUAAUAAAUUAUGCAUGUUCUUAGUUUGGGAAGACUUAAAUUGCACAUCAGAAUGGUGCGGCAUAGCUCUUUCAAUGUGUAGUUGCAGAAAAUAUCCAUUCCCACAUACACUCCUUUUACUGAGGGUUUUCUUGUUUGAAAUUCAUCCCCUUCCAAACCCCCAUCCCCCUGGAAAUUCCAGUUUUGGAUAAUACUUUCCUUAUUUCUGAUAUUCUUCCUUGGGGUGGCUAUGAAAUCAAUAUUUUCUUGAAACAGCUUGCUGGAAGUAGUUCAUUAACAGCUAAUCACUAUUUGUUUUGCUAUGAACAUUUAAUAUUGUUUUGAUUUUCAUUUGAACAGCUUCAUUUAAGUACUGCUGAUGUACUAGAAAGAGGUGGAAUGUUUACUGGGCUUCCAGAUAAAGUCAACAGAAGCUGGAUACUGACUGACAACAGCUUGAAGUACUUUGUUGAGAUGUACAACAAGACAGGAUUCAGAGGACCUCUAAAUUGGUACAGGACAAUGGAAAAAGAU